UAUAAGGUGUUUUUUGACACCACAAAGCUAAACCUUCAAAGCAUUU
rfam:Corchorus olitorius cultivar O-4 contig20766, whole genome shotgun sequence.